rnacentral:ncRNA from 1 species
CAAAUAUUGUCUACUGGGAAGAGUAAAUAGUGUUAGAUUUAACAGAGAGUACAUGAUUGCUGAAAAUGUACAGUUUAACUUAUUGAAGGUAGCCCACAUUGAACUUUAGCUGAACUGAUAUAACAAUUGCUUGUAUAUCAACUAGGUUAAAGCGUGUUUGAGCGUUAAUCAUAAUUUAAAGUGCAUGAAGUUAGCGAACUAACUUCAUGAAUUUAGGUGGUACCACGGAAUAUCCGUCCUAUAU